rnacentral:misc_RNA from 1 species
GUGAAUCAUCAAAUCUUUGAACGCAUAUUGCACUCUCUGGUAUUCCGGAGAGUAUGCCUGUUUGAGGGUAAUUAAAAACAAUAUUUAACCAUUUUUUUUGGGCAAAGGAGAUGAGUUCGCCGCGUUUAUAGCGGUAGCUUGAAAUAAAUGGUCAAGUCUCAUUUUAGUCUAGACGCUUAAGAAUAUUAUUUCGCGAAAUCUUCAUUAGUUGACUAUCAAGUUUGUACGCAUACAAAUUUGUUUUGUUUGCGAUCAAUACAAAUAUUUUUGAAAAUUACCGCAAAUCAUGUAUGA